CGCUAUCACUCCUACGGGAGGCAGCAGUGAGGAAUAUUGGACAAUGGGCGAGGGCCUGAUCCAGCCAUGCCGCGUGCAGGAAGAAUGCCCUAUGGGUAGUAACUGCUUUUAUACGGGAAGAAAUAGGGCACGCGUGCCCCAUUGACGGUACCGUAAGAAUAAGGACCGGCUAACUCCGUGCCAGCAGCCGCGGUAAUACGGAGGGUCCGAGCGUUAUCCGGAAUCAUUGGGUUUAAAGGGGUCCGUAGGCGGGCCGUUAAGUCAGGGGUGAAAGUCUGCGGCUCAACCGUAGAAAUGCCUUUGAUACUGGCGGUCUUGAGUUAUGGCGAAGUGGGCGGAAUAUGUAGUGUAGCGGUGAAAUGCAUAGAUAUUACAUAGAACACCGAUUGCGAAGGCAGCCCACUAGCCAUGGACUGACGCUGAUGGACGAAAGCGUGGGGAGCAAACAGGAUUAGAUACCCUGGUAG
rnacentral:rRNA from 1 species